AAAAUAUUAAAUAAAUAAUGGAUAAAUAAAUACAUAAAAAUAAAUACCAGCAAUAUUCUGGAGACACCCAAAUAAGAAUUUCCUUUCAAAGCUCUGUCUUUAAAACUACAUCUCUGGCUUUUUAAAGGCAUCUCCACUUGGGUAGUGUAUCAGUCAUGGUCCCGUUAGGAGUUAAAAACCACAUGAGUAAUUUAGAUAGAAAACUUUUAAUGUGCAGAAUUAACUAGCAAAAGAUGAUUAAGUGCUAAAAUGAGGGAAUAGAGGGCUGUGGGGGUAGAGAAAUAGGAAAUGCUGACAGCUACAACCUCUAGAGCUAUAUAAGCGUGAAAAACGGAGUAAUAAGAGCUGUCCUUUCCACCUCUCUCUGAGGCUGAAGUCCAGAUCUCUUGGGAGAAGAUGUGGCUGCCAGAGGAACAUGCAGUGCUGGAAAACUUGCCAGAAGGCACAAGGCUGGAGGUGGUCUGAGAGGGUUUCUGAGUUUUUAUAGGUAGAAUAAAAACCAUCACCAAACUCA
rnacentral:lncRNA from 13 species